rnacentral:rRNA from 1 species
AGGAAAUAGCUCCCGCGUAUAGACCGUACCCCAAACCGACACAGGUGGACUAGCAGAGUAUGCUGAGGCGCUUGAGAGAAGUAUGCUGAAGGAACUGGGCAAUUUGCCCUCGUAACUUCGGAAGAAGAGGGCCCAACCUACGCGCAAGCGUUGAUUGGGGGCACAGAGCAGGGGGUAGCGACUGUUUACUAAAAACACAGGACUCUGCGAAAUCCAAAGAUGACGUAUAGGGUCUGACGCCUGCCCGGUGCCGGAAGGUUAAGAGGAGAUGUGAAAGCGUCGAAUCGAAGCCCCGGUAAACGGCGGCCGUAACAAUAACGGUCCUAAGGUAGCGAAAUUCCUUGUCGGGUAAGUUCCGACCUGCACGAAAGGCGUAACGACUUCCCCACUGUCUCCAGCAUAUGCUCAGCGAAGUUGAAUUCCCCGUGAAGAUGCGGGGUACCCGCGGUCAGGCGGAAAGACCCCGUGCACCUUUACUGCAGCUUUGCACUGGCAUUAGGGAUGGAUUGCGUAGGAUAGGUGGUAGGCUUUGAAGUCUAGGCUCUGGCUUGGAUGGAGCCACCCUUGAAAUACCACCCUGUUUGUUCCUGAUGUCUAACCGCGAUUCGAAACAGGGUCCGGAACCAUGCAUGGCGGGCAGUUUGACUGGGGCGGUCGCCUCCCAAAGAGUAACGGAGGCGCGCAAUGGUAAGCUCAGGCCGGUCGGAAAUCGGCUGUUGAGUGCAAUGGCACAAGCUUGCCUGACUGCAAGGCUGACAAGCCAAGCAGAGUCGAAAGACGGUCAUAGUGAUCCGGUGGUCCCGCGUGGAAGGGCCAUCGCUCAACGGAUAAAAGGUACGCCGGGGAUAACAGGCUGAUGAUCCCCAAGAGUCCAUAUCGACGGGAUCGUUUGGCACCUCGAUGUCGGCUCAUCACAUCCUGGGGCUGGAGCAGGUCCCAAGGGUAUGGCUGUUCGCCAUUUAAAGUGGUACGUGAGCUGGGUUUAGAACGUCGUGAGGCAGUUCGGUCCCUAUCUGUCGUGGGUGUUCGAGACUUGAGAGGAUUUCUUCCUAGUACGAGAGGACCGGAAGGAACGCACCUCUGGUGGAUCGGUUGUCGCGCCAGCGGCACUGCCGAGUAGCUAUGUGCGGAAUAGAUAACCGCUGAAAGCAUCUAAGCGGGAAACUAACCUCAAAACCAGGUCUCGCUGAGAGCCGUGGAAGACUACCACGUUGAUAGGCUGGGCGUGUAAGCGCAGCAAUGCGUUGAGCUUACCAGUCCUAAUCGCCCAAAAAG